AAGGGUACAGCUCAACGGUAGAGUGUGUGCUUAGCAUGCACGAGGUUCUAGGUUCAAUCCCCAGUACCUUCA
rnacentral:tRNA from 1 species